UUGUAUGUUUGUAUGUUAACAGCAUUUAACCAAGAGCUGAAGACAUUUCAACUUUAUCAAAUAUUGUCAUGUAUAAUAAAUAUUUUAAAUAGUGUUUAACUGAAAUAGUAAGUGAAAGUAGUAGUGAAACUGAAAGUAAAUUCGACAACUGUUUUAUGUUGCUUCACACGAGACAGCUCAACAGCAGGAGAAAUGAGUUGUGAUGGCGACCAGCACACAAUGCAGUCCUCAGAUGAUGUGCUGCCCCCUCCUGGUGACAUCCAGGUCCUGUUGCUGACAUUAGAUUCUGUGUCUCUGAGCUGGAGUUCUCCUCAGGGGCUGAUAGGACCACAGACAUUCAGAGUGACCUGGGGGUGUGACAGUGAAACAAGCUCAACAAGAGUGAAAGAUGUGUAUCAUCUUAAAAUAAGCAGUCUCAAACCUGGUGAAAAGUACCAGUUCAACAUGGCUACAGA